rnacentral:rRNA from 1 species
UACGUAGGGUGCAAGCGUUAAUCGGAAUUAUUGGGCGUAAAGGGUGCGUAGGCGGUUUGGUAAGUCUUAUGUGAAAUCUACGAGGCUCAACUUGUAGUCUGCAUGAGAAACUGCCGGGCUUGAGUAUGGGAGAGGUGAGUGGAAUUCCUGGUGUAGCGGUGAAAUGCGUAGAUAUCAGGAGGAACACCUGUGGCGAAAAGCGGCUCACUGGACCAUGAACUGACGCUGAUGCACG